rnacentral:rRNA from 1 species
GACGAACCGAGCGAACGUUAUUCGGAAUCACUGGGCUUAAAGGGCGCGUAGGCGGGCCGCCAAGUCAGGGGUGAAAGCCCCCAGCUCAACUGGGGAAGUGCCUUUGAUACUGGCGGUCUCGAGGGGGAUAGGGGCGUGCGGAACUUCCGGUGGAGCGGUGAAAUGCGUAGAUAUCGGAAGGAACACCGGUGGCGAAAGCGGCGCGCUGGAUCCCUUCUGACGCUGAGGCGCGAAAGCGUGGGGAGCGAACAGG